UACGGAGGGUGCAAGCGUUAUCCGGAUUCACUGGGUUUAAAGGGUGCGUAGGUGGGCAGGUAAGUCAGUGGUGAAAUCUCCGAGCUUAACUCGGAAACUGCCGUUGAUACUAUUUGUCUUGAAUAUUGUGGAGGUAAGCGGAAUAUGUCAUGUAGCGGUGAAAUGCUUAGAUACGACAUAGAACACCAAUUGCGAAGGCAGCUUACUACACAACGAUUGACGCUGAGGCACGAAAGCGUGGGGAUCAAACAGG
rnacentral:rRNA from 1 species